rnacentral:rRNA from 1 species
UACGGAGGGUGCAAGCGUUGUCCGGAAUCACUGAGCGUAAAGGGCGCGUAGGCGGCUCGGUAAGUAGGGGGUGAAAUCCUGCGGCUUAACCGCAGGGCUGCCUUCUAAACUGUCGAGCUCGAGCACGGUAGUGGCAGAUGGAAUUCCCGGUGUAGCGGUGGAAUGCGUAGAGAUCGGGAAGAACAUCAGUGGCGAAGGCGGUCUGCUGGGCCGUUGCUGACGCUGAGGCGCGACAGCGUGGGGAGCAAACAGG